rnacentral:lncRNA from 1 species
CACAACAGUUCUCUCCUGUCCUUCCAGCCUUCAGCAGCCGCUUACCUAAUUUCUUCCUUGUACACUGGCCAAUUCAGGUCAGUCUAUGUGGCUUCCAGAUUUGGGCCGUAAGAACAAUUUUUAAAAGCUGUGCAUGUAGAUGAAGAAGUUUCUUCGCGCUGGACUUGGGGGAUCUGCCCCCAACUGCCCAUUUCUACAGCUGGAAAUACCGCUGGUGCCUAUGACCACUCUCUCCCUGCGAAGCUCG